rnacentral:rRNA from 1 species
GCAACCCCAGGUCAGGCGGAACUACCCGCUGAGUUUAAGCAUUUCAAUA